rnacentral:tRNA from 1 species
GACGCUACGGACUUAAAAUCCGUCGACUUUAGAAGUCGUGAGGGUUCAAGUCCCUCUAUCCCCA